UACGGAGGGUGCAAGCGUUAUCCGGAUUCACUGGGUUUAAAGGGUGCGUAGGCGGGCAGGUAAGUCAGAGGUGAAAUCUCCGAGCUUAACUCGGAAACUGCCUUUGAUACUAUCUGUCUUGAAUAUGGUGGAGGUAAGCGGAAUAUGUCAUGUAGCGGUGAAAUGCUUAGAUAUGACAUAGAACACCAAUUGCGAAGGCAGCUCACUACGGGAUCAUUGACACUGAGGCACGAAAGCGUGGGGAUCAAACAGG
rnacentral:rRNA from 1 species